rnacentral:pre_miRNA from 1 species
UCUAGUCAUCUCGCUCAUUCUUGUGGGAAAUUUUGAAAACAUGUUUAGUAAACUUAUGUUUUUAAAACUUCCCAUAAGAAUGAGCGAGAUGACUAGAU